rnacentral:lncRNA from 1 species
GGAGAGCAACUUGCAAUACAAGUUCUGGCUGGAGUUGGCUCUGAUGGGGAUCCUUCGAUACUCAAGUCAAAUCUCAGAGAAUAGAAUAGAAGGAGCAUUCUUAAGAAAAAUUGUAUGCAUACCUUGGGGGUCCCCUAUAGAUCAUUUUAUGGGCUAGGGAUAAGAAGCCAUUUUAGAUAGGCUAUCUAGCUAAUUUGAAUGUGAUAUGGUAAGAUUUUUGUCCGAGAUCUUUGGAACUAGAUGGUUAUAUCUGCCUUAUCUGUUUUAGAGCUAGCUGUGGUGCUGUAGACCCUUUGAAUUUGAAAUAGAGUAGAUA